AUUGAACGCUGGCGGCAGGCCUAACACAUGCAAGUCGAACGAAUGGCGGACGGGUGAGUAAUGUCUGGGAAACUGCCUGAUGGAGGGGGCUAACUACUCGAAACGGUAUCCAAUACCCCAUACCAUCAGAUGUGCCCAGAUGGGAUUAGCUUGUUGGUGGGGUAACGGCUCACCAAGGCGCCGAUCCCUAGCUUGUCUGAGAGGAUGACCAGCCACCAUGGAACUGAGAAACGGUCCAGAAUCCUACGGGAGGCAGAAGUGGGGAAGAUUGCACAAUGGGCGAAAGCAUGAUGCAGCCAUGCCGCGUGUAUGAAGAGGGCCUUCGGGUUGUAAAGAACUUUCAGCGGGGAGGCGUUACCCGCAGAAGAAGCACAGGCUAACUCCGUGCCAGCAGCCGCGGUAAUAC
rnacentral:rRNA from 1 species